rnacentral:rRNA from 1 species
AUUGAACGCUGGCGGCAUGCCUUACACACGCAAGUCGAACGGCAGCACGGGUGCUUGCACCUGGUGGCGAGUGGCGGACGGGUGAGUAAUACAUCGGAACGUGUCCUGAAGUGGGGGAUAACGCAUCGAAAGAUGUGCUAAUACCGCAUAUACUCUGAGGAGUAAAGUAGGGGAUCGAAAGACCUUAUGCUUUUGGAGCGGCCGAUGUCUGAUUAGCUAGUUGGUGGGGUAAUUGCCCACCAAGGCGACGAUCAGUAGUUGGUCUGAGAGGACGACCAGCCACACUGGGACUGAGACACGGCCCAGACUCCUACGGGAGGCAGCAGUGGGGAAUUUUGGACAAUGGGCGCAAGCCUGAUCCAGCAAUGCCGCGUGAGUGAAGAAGGCCUCGGUUGUAAG